rnacentral:rRNA from 1 species
UACGUAGGGUGCAAGCGUUGUCCGGAAUUAUUGGGCGUAAAGAGCUCGUAGGCGGCUUGUCACGUCGGAUGUGAAAAUCCAGGGCUCAACCCUGGACCUGCCUUCGAUACGGGCAGGCUAGAAUUCGGUAGGGGAGACUGGAAUUCCUGGUGUAGCGGUGAAAUGCGCAGAUAUCUGGAGGAAUACCGGUGGCGAAGGCGGCAUCCUGGACCGGCAUUGACGCUGAGGAGCGAAAGCCAGGGGAGCAAACGGG